UGGGGAAUAUUGCACAAUGGGGGAAACCCUGAUGCAGCGACGCCGCGUGAGUGAUGAAGUAUUUCGGUAUGUAAAACUCUAUCAGCAGGGAAGAUAAUGACGGUACCUGACUAAGAAGCACCGGCUAACUACGUGCCAGCAGCCGCGGUAAAACGUAGGGUGCAAGCGUUGUCCGGAAUUACUGGGUGUAAAGGGAGCGCAGGCGGGAAGACAAGUUGGAAGUGAAAACCAUGGGCUCAACCCAUGAAUUGCUUUCAAAACUGUUUUUCUUGAGUAGUGCAGAGGUAGAUGGAAUUCCCGGUGUAGCGGUGGAAUGCGUAGAUAUCGGGAGGAACACCAGUGGCGAAGGCGGUCUACUGGGCACCAACUGACGCUGAGGCUCGAAAGCAUGGGUAGCAAACAGGAUUAGAUACCCUGGUAGUCCAUGCCGUAAACGAUGAUUACUAGGUGUUGGGGGAUUGACCCCCUCAGUGCCGCAGUUAACACAAUAAGUAAUCCACCUGGGGAGUACGACCGCAAGGUUGAAACUCAAAGGAAUUGACGGGGGCCCGCACAAGCAGUGGAGUAUGUGGUUUAAUUCGAAGCAACGCGAAGAACCUUACCAGGUCUUGACAUCCGAUGCAUAGCACAGAGAUGUGUGAAAUCCUUCGGGACAUCGAGACAGGUGGUGCAUGGUUGUCGUCAGCUCGUGUCGUGAGAUGUUGGGUUAAGUCCCGCAACGAGCGCAACCCUUAUUGCCAGUUACUACGUUAAGAGGACUCUGGCGAGACUGCCGUUGACAAAACGGAGGAAGGUGGGGAUGACGUCAAAUCAUCAUGCCCUUUAUGACCUGGGCUACACACGUACUACAAUGGCGUUAAACAAAGAGAAGCAAGACCGCGAGGUGGAGCAAAACUCAAAAACAACGUCUCAGUUCAGAUUGCAGGCUGCAACUCGCCUGCAUGAAGUCGGAAUUGCUAGUAAUCGCGGAUCAGCAUGCCGCGGUGAAUACGUUCCC
rnacentral:rRNA from 1 species